GCGGUACCCUUUUCCCCUCGGGCAGAAGCGGAUGCGGCGAGGACUGAGAUGCCCUUUUCAACGGCCGGUCCGGCGGCGGCCAGCGCCAAUGGCUGUAGCAAGCGUAGGACUCCACAGAAUACCUCGCGGGGAUCUAGAUCUUUGUCGGUGUGUUCUCUACUCCACGACUAACGGCACCGGCGUCAUCUAGCCGCCAGCGCAUCCUCAACUCUACCAGCUUCGGGCGGCAGAAGGAGGGGAGGCACGCCACGGCCGAGCAGCAGCAGCUGCCGACCAUGGCUAGGACGGAGAGCAGGUGUCCACGGCUGAGCCUUCUGCUCCUUCCCCCAUUCGUUUCUACCUUCAGUUUCUAUUUCCUAAGUUUGGACAUGGAUUUAGUGAGGAAAAGAAUCACGGGAAUAUAGGUGGAUUGGACAAGUCAGGCGACCAUGAAAGCAAAGAUUGUUUGGACGCACACUCCUAUUUGGUGAAAUGCAGAUUGGAAGAUGGGAGCUUGCUAUCUGAACAGAGUACUUUUACCUCUCACUAUUAAGUUAUUCCUUUUUUCCUAUUCUGCUUUGGAAUAAUUGAGACAAUAUUUCAUUGUUUAUUUGGUGUUUUAUUGACUGAAGCUUGAUCUUCUCUUCUUAACUGCAAACAUGAUUUUAAAAUCAUAUUGAUACAGUAAAACAGUUCGAGCAUAUUGUGCUUUAAAUCUGUGGUGACAACUAACAAAGAUUACAUAAAAAUUAUCGUUGGCCUUUUCAACACACCCUUUUGUACAUUGUACUUACUUACCAUGUUAUAAGCCAUAUUUGGGUGAUAAACUGAUAAUUGCUGAAACAUAGUUUCCUUGUAGAUACGAGAAUGGAUAUCGAAGAGUGAGACAACUUGCUGACAAAAUGAUGAAGUACAAUACCUUGAAACCUCCUGGAUUUUCUUUGGAUUGCCAUGUUGUUCCCUUUCACAUAGGGAUUGAUAAUGAAACACUAGACGGUGUUCUUGCACUGAUUUUUUCAUAGUGUAUCUUGGAUGUGAAAUUGGGAGAAUCGCCGUAUUUGCUUUUAGUUCCUAGCCCGCAUCUCUUCCUGUCGUUCCUACGCGCUGUGUGUUAUAGGCUUACUGGUCACAAAUAUUUGCAGUUUAACAGUCAGUUUCACAACUUUCAUGAAUGCAUCAAAUCAAUUUCAAUGUUGGCAUUAACUUUCUAUUAAGAUGAAUUACCCACUGUACAUUACAAUGGUGGCUGCUGAUAUCAGCUAAUUGUAUUAUUACUUUUGAACCUUGCUUACUGUUAAUUGCAGGUUUUGCAAAGAAAAGGAAAAUAAGGAAUCAAAUAAUGGCUUAGCAUAUAUUUUUUGGAAGGUCCUGAUGUUGAUAAGCUAGAUAAGAUGCAUCGAGAGCCUCCAACAUUGUUGCAUUGUUGUACCGUGCUCUCUAAAUUACAUGAAGCUGAAAGAUCAAAUUGGUAGAGGUCAUUUCCGCAUUGGUACUACAA